GGAGGUGGCUCACAGCUCACUGGCAGAGCUCAUGCUUUGCAUGCAGACAGUCCCUGGUUCAAUCCCUGGCAUCUCCA